GUUGAGUACUAUGUACAAGAAAUCAGACCCACUAACAGUUUUGUUUUCUCCUGGGAAAGUAACAUUCUGAAACUCUUAAAAAAUAAGCCCGAGAUAGUACCGUUAAAAGUGUCCUGCUCUCUGUAGAAAUGGUGAUGCCAAUGAAAUAUGGAGCUCUAAGGAUUCAUGGGCUCACUUUAUGCUAAAGACAUUUGCAUAGCUCCAAGGAAGCAAAUCACAUCAUCUGGGACCAAUCAGCCAGGAAGGCAAU
rnacentral:misc_RNA from 1 species